rnacentral:rRNA from 1 species
ACACAUGCAAGUCGAGGGGCAGCAUGAUUGAAGCUUGCUUCAAUUGAUGGCGACCGGCGCACGGGUGAGUAACGCGUAUCCAACCUUCCGUACACUCAGGGAUAGCCUUUCGAAAGAAAGAUUAAUACCUGAUGGUAUGAUGAGAUUGCAUGAUAUCAUCAUUAAAGAUUUAUCGGUGUACGAUGGGGAUGCGUUCCAUUAGGUAGUAGGCGGGGUAACGGCCCACCUAGCCUACGAUGGAUAGGGGUUCUGAGAGGAAGGUCCCCCACAUUGGAACUGAGACACGGUCCAAACUCCUACGGGAGGCAGCAGUGAGGAAUAUUGGUCAAUGGACGAGAGUCUGAACCAGCCAAGUAGCGCGAAGGAUGAAGGUCUUACGGAUUGUAAACUUCUUUUAUAAGGGAAUAAAACCUCCCACGUGUGGGAGCUUGUAUGUACCUUAUGAAUAAGCAUCGGCUAACUCCGUGCCAGCAGCCGCGGUAAUACGGAGGAUGCGAGCGUUAUCCGGAUUUAUUGGGUUUAAAGGGAGCGCAGACGGGUCGUUAAGUCAGCUGUGAAAGUUUGGGGCUCAACCUUAAAAUUGCAGUUGAUACUGGCGUCCUUGAGUGCGGUUGAGGUGUGCGGAAUUCGUGGUGUAGCGGUGAAAUGCUUAGAUAUCACGAAGAACUCCGAUUGCGAAGGCAGCACACUAAGCCGUAACUGACGUUCAUGCUCGAAAGUGUGGGUAUCAAACAGGAUUAGAUACCCUGGUAGUCCACACGGUAAACGAUGGAUACUCGCUGUUGGCGAUAUACGGUCAGCGGCUUAGCGAAAGCGUUAAGUAUCCCACCUGGGGAGUACGCCGGCAACGGUGAAACUCAA